GGGCAUUUUCGUUAAUGUGAUCAACUAUAUGAGCAUUUCAGUAAGCGGUCUUAAUUUUAUAUUUGGUGACACGUGUUUCAUCACUUGGUUUUGUGGGACAGCUGGCUUCAUUUCCUCUAUACAUCCUGAACCCAUGUCUCUAUUCCUUUUUCCUCUGCAUCGUUACUUCUUGUUUGGAGCAUUCAGAGGAAUCAGAUAUGUCUUAUGAUGUUGUGAUGGUUUAGACAUUUUUCGGGCUGGCCAGUUUAUGAGGUUCUUUUUAUCUCUUUUUAAAGUCUUAAAUUUCUUUAAAUGAUGAAUAUCUACCGUUAAACAUACUUAUGACCGUGUAUGAAUUUAUGUUUCUCAAGUAUAAGUGUAGUUUGAGUUAUGUGUGAAAUAUAUUCUUUGGAGAUUCUUCAAUUGUGGAUCAUUGGCUCAACUUUGGUGGAGAAGUUGUUGGGUUUUGUGCCAGAGCUAGAAUUUUUAUAAGAAGACAUCAUUCGGUCGAAUAUCCAGUAUUGCUAAUUGUUGCAUGUGUGCUUAUUGUACUUUGUGUGAAUUGGGUUGUGCUAUUAUAGAAUUACGCAGACUGAUGAACCCAAGGUGUUUGAAUAUAUGCCUGAAACAGCUAAAUAGUUUUUUGUCGCUUUUCUUUCUCCACAGGUGCUCUAUAACUUAGUCUUCUAUCAUGCAGGAGCUCCAAAGGUACAUUGAUGUGUUAUAAAAGCAUGUUAGAAUGUGUUCCAUUUGCUUGUGUUGUGCAUUUUUACUAAGCUACUGUUACAUUUUGUCGAACUUUGUGUCUACAAAAAAAAACUAUAUACUAUAACCUUGUCAAAACCGAAAGUAGAUAUAACGAUCAGUGCCCUCAUUCUUCAUUUGAUUUUGACAGCGACUCUUAUCAAUUGAACAUGAAUAUAAGUUCUAGCUUUAAAGAGGAUGAAUUUUCUUCUUUCUUAAAUCCUUAUAGACAUCUUUUUCACUGGUGCAACUCUUGGGACUUUGAAUUGGAGUAGAGUUGAAAACUCCUCUAAUCAUGAAGAUUCAACUUUUUAUUUCUAUAUACAAAUUCAAAUUUCUUAUCUUUUCAUUUAAAUUCAAAAAAGCUAUUUAUUAAAAUUCUUAUAAACUUUGUCCUAAUUCUCAUUAACUUUGUCUUAAAAUUGUCAACUGGCUUGUUAUUAGCUUGCCACUUGGCUUAACCACAUUGCUUAUACCUCUCCUAUUUUAUAUACUAGUAUUCGUACCCACGCGAUGCGCGGCGGGUAUCAAAUGAAACUGUAAGAGAAUAUUUGCCGUGAUUAUUCUCAUUCAUUCCAUAGGUUAAUAUACAUCCUUUACAACGUAAUUGUAGGCUACAAAUUAGGAACUAAUUUGACUAAUGUAUGCUAUCCUAAAAUAGAAGAUUACAAAAUAUUUUUGACUAAAUAUUUACAUAAUCUAACACACCCCCGCAGUCGAAGCGGUAGGUUUACGAACGGUUAGACUGUUCCGAAAAUCAUCAAAUAGUACGCGCGGAAGACCUUUGGUGAAAAUGUCAGCAAUCUGAUAACGGGACGGAACAUGUAGGACACGAACCUCUCCACAUCUAACCUUUUCGCGAACAAAAUGAUUGUCCAUUUCAAUAUGCUUGGUACGUUGAUGUUGUACCGGAUUUCCAGAUAAAUAAAUGGCACUCACAUUGUCACAAUAGACCAAAGUUGCUUUACAAAUAGGGCAAUUGAGUUCAAGAAACAGAUUACGAAUCCAACAUGAUUCAAAGACAACAUUAGCAACCCCUCUAUACUCAGCUUCAGCACUAGACCUAGAUAGAGUAGGUUGGCGCUUUGAAGACCAAGAUAUCAAGUUGUCCCCAAAAUACAUACAAUAACCCGACGUGGAGCGUCGAGUGUCUGGACAUCCUCCCCAAUCAGCAUAUGUAUAUGAUAGUAGUGACUGUAGAGAGGUUUUGUGUAAAUGUGUACCAAACUCAAUUAUACCUCGAAUGUAACGCAAAAUGCGUUUUAAUGCUUCCAUAUGCUCGACUUUGGGAUCAUGCAUAAACAAGCAAACCUGUUGUACUGCGUACGAUAUGUCUUGCCGAGUAAAAGUCAAGUAUUGCAAGGCAACUGCCAGACGAUGAUACUUCGUAGGAUCUUCAUAUGGGGCGCUCGAAGUAUCGCUGAGUUUGCCCUUUGUAUCAACUGGUGUGGGGCAAGGCUUACAUUGUGACAUGCCUACCCUGUCAAGAAUAUCCUCUGCAUAAGAACUCUGAGACAACAAUUGGUACAUGGGGGCCACAGCCGUGGGCCACUCCAUCGUGUCCCUACCCCACCACCCGGUGGCAGCAGCCUCGCGGGUGGCAACAGCCACACCCAGCCCAGUCACAGUAGGUCAUUCUCGGUGCUCGCCCUCCCUAGUCGUUCUAUUCGGCAGCCCCGGCAUCACAUGGUGGGUAUGUGCCCACGGAUAUUGAUCAAGUUAUGCAUACAAUGUUCUUCAAUCCAUCCGAUGACAACAAUUGGUACAUGGACACCGGAGCCACAUCUCACAUGACCAACUCUCAAGGAUUUACGGACGGUGAGCAAACUCAUGAGAUGUGAGAGUUCGGGUGAUCUUUAUCCAUUCUCCAAAAAUUAUCGAGCCAUUUCGUCUUCCGCACCAUCUGCUUUUACCGUCAUCUCUCCUCAUAUUUGGCACUCUCGUUUGGGUCAUCCGGGGGAUGUAAUUCUUAGUUCUUUACGUAGUAGUAAUUUGAUUGAAUGUAAUAAGGCUCGAAACAAUGUUUGUCAUUCUUGCCCUUUGGGGAAAUUAAUUAAAAUGCCUUUUUAUGACUCUCUUUCAACUACUACUAUGCCCUUUGACAUUGUUCACAGUAAUUUAUGGACUUCACCUGUUCUUAGCUCUUCCGGUCACAGAUAUUAUGUUUUAUUUCUUGACAAUUAUACUAAUUUUCUUUGGACUUUUCCCAUCAAAACAAAGUCCCAAGUUUAUUAUUGUUUCUUGUCAUUCCGGAUUUUCAUUCACACUCAAUUUGAAAAAGAAAUCAAAACUUUUCAAUGUGACAACGGGCGUGAAUUUGAUAAUGGUCCUUUUCAUAAAUUUUGUGAACAAAACGGGAUGCUUUUUUGAUUUUCUUGUCCGCACACCUCACCCCAAAAUGGUAAGGCGGAACGGAAAAUUAAUUCCAUAAACAACAUGGUUCGUACACUUCUUGCCCAUGCAUCUAUGCCCCCUCCUAUUGGCAUCACACUUUGGCCAUGGCAACGUACCUACACAAUAUUCUCCCUUCUAAAAUCUUAGCAUAUAAGACACCCACUCAGAUUCUUUAUCAAAAGAAUCCAUCCUACUCUCAUCUCCGAGUUUUUGGUUGUCUAUGCUUUCCUCUCUUCCCUUCCACACAAAUUCAUAAGCUACAAUCUAGGUCCACUCCAUGUGUUUUCCUAGGGUAUCCUGCCAAUCAUCGGGGGGUACAAAUGCUAUGAUUUAUCGAGCCGAAGAAUAAUCAUAGCCCGGCAUGUGUGGUUUGAUGAAAACUCUUUUCCAUUUUCAAAUAUAAAUAAUCCAACUCCUACCUCAUAUGAGUUUUUGGGUGAUGAUAAUUCUCCAUUAAGAAUACAUUUGUUGCAUGACCAGGCCAAUGCUCCACAAAUGCCGCCCUUACGGCCCGCUCCCCCUCCUGCAACCCACCACCCGAACCCACCCGCUUCCUCUCCUCCCUUGUCGCCUGUCCAGCAAGCCGCUUCCACCACCCCAGCUGCCCAGCAGCUUCUUCCCGUCCCUGCCAGCCCCAUCACAUCUACAUUGCCACCAGUUCCUCGCAUGACUACACGUAGUCAACCUGGGAUAUUUAAGGCGAAUUUGAAAUACAAAAAUCAAGCCUUAAGUGCCACCACCACCUCCAUCUCUCCUAUUCCCCGGAAUCUAGUUGGUGCACUUAAUGACCCGAAUUGGAAAAAUGCUAUGCAGGAUGAAUAUAAUGCUCUUAUUGAUAGUAAGACUUGGGAGUUGGUCCCUCGUCCUUCAAAUGCUAAUAUUAUUCGGUCUUUGUGAAUUUUUUGGCAUAAAAAGAAAUCUGAUGGUUCUUUUGAGAGGC